rnacentral:tRNA from 1 species
CGCGGGGUGGAGCAGUGGUAGCUCGUCGGGCUCAUAACCCGAAGGCCGUAGGUUCGAGUCCUACCCCCGCAAC